rnacentral:rRNA from 1 species
UGGGGAAUCUUGCACAAUGGGGGAAACCCUGAUGCAGCGACGCCGCGUGAGUGAUGAAGCCCUUCGGGGUGUAAAGCUCUUUCGACCCGGAAGAUUAUGACGGUACGGGGAGAAGAAGCUGCGGCUAACUACGUGCCAGCAGCCGCGGUAAUACGUAGGCAGCGAGCGUUGUUCGGAGUUACUGGGCGUAAAGCGUGCGUAGGCGGUGUCUUAAGUUUGUUGUGAAAUCUCCCGGCUUAACCGGGAGGGUGCGGCGAAUACUGAGAUGCUGGAGUGCGGGAGAGGUAAGCGGAAUUCCUGGUGUAGCGGUGAAAUGCGUAGAUAUCAGGAGGAACACCUGCGGUGUAGACGGCUUACUGGACCGUAACUGACGCUGAGGCACGAAAGCGUGGGUAGCAAACAGGAUUAGAUACCCUGGUAGUCCACGCCCUAAACGAUGCAUACUUGGUGUGGGCAGUUCAGUCUGUCCGUGCCGAAGCUAACGCGAUAAGUAUGCCGCCUGGGGAGUAC